rnacentral:rRNA from 1 species
UACGAAGGGGGCUAGCGUUGUUCGGAAUUACUGGGCGUAAAGCGCGCGCAGGCGGUCUUUCAAGUCAGUGGUGAAAGCCUGGAGCUCAACUCCAGAACUGCCAUUGAAACUGCAAGACUUGAGUACGAGAGAGGUGAGUGGAAUUCCCAGUGUAGAGGUGAAAUUCGUAGAUAUUGGGAAGAACAUCGGUGGCGAAAGCGCUCUACUGGACCGCAACUGACACUCAGGGACGAAAGCUAGGGGAGCGAAUGGG